GAUUGAACGCUGGCGGCAUGCCUAACACAUGCAAGUCGAGCGGCAGCGCGGGGGCGACCCUGGCGGCGAGCGGCGGACGGGUGAGUAAGGCAUCGGAAUCUGCCCUGAUGUGGGGGAUAACGUAGGGAAACUUACGCUAAUACCGCAUACGACCGAGAGGUGAAAGCGGGGGACCGAAAGGCCUCGCGCAGCAGGAUGAGCCGAUGUCCGAUUAGCUGGUUGGUGGGGUAACGGCCCACCAAGGCGACGAUCGGUAGCUGGUCUGAGAGGAUGAUCAGCCACACUGGGACUGAGACACGGCCCAGACUCCUACGGGAGGCAGCAGUGGGGAAUAUUGGACAAUGGGGGCAACCCUGAUCCAGCAAUGCCGCGUGUGUGAAGAAGGCCUUCGGGUUGUAAAGCACUUUUAUCGGGAACGAAACGCGCCGGGUUAAUACCUUGGCGAACUGACGGUACCCGAGGAAUAAGCACCGGCUA
rnacentral:rRNA from 1 species